rnacentral:lncRNA from 10 species
GUCCAUUCUUCCUAAUGAUGAAACCUAAGGAGUUACUUCUAGAUAGAUUCAGCUUUUUGAAGAUAGACAUUUUCUAGCUAAGAUCUCCAGGGAAAAGUUUGAGGGAUCACGAGAGAUGGAUGAAUCAUGAGGAAGGGGAUCUACAUAUUUCUGACCAGCUCAGAGUAAGGUGCAUAGACUGGCGGCUGCCAGGGGAUAAGGAAGCAGUGGCAUUGGAAUUCAAGACUGUCUCUCUGACCUUCCUGAAUGACUCAGCAAUAUGAAGUUAAAAUCAGGUUCUUCUUUGGAAUUGGUGGCUGGCUGCUUGCUUAUGAGUGUAGACAUGUGACCCAAACACUCCUCCAUCACUGCUCUGUGGCCUCAGCUGUGAAGCUUUUCUGGAUAAGGGUCAAGGAUAUCCUCAUGACUAAAUGCAAUCCCUGACUCUCAACCCUUCUGACACUCGCUGUCCAGGUGAACCCAUAGCCAAAGCCAAGGACAUAUCAACAAUUUCGACUUGGUCUCUGGUCUCACUGGUCAACAGGCAAGAGCUACAAUAGAAUAUGUACUUGGACUCAGGCUCAGAAAUUACCAAACUGUCAUAACUGACCCAAAGAUGCUUCCUAGAGACAGGUUUCGCUGUGUUCACCAGGAUGGUCUCAAUUUCCUGACCUCAUGAUCUGCCCGCCUCGGCCUCCCAAAGUAUGUUUUUCUGUUUUUUAUUUUAUUGAUGUCUUUUGUUAAUGUUAUUUCAUUUCUUCUGCUUGCAUUGGGUUUAAUUUUGUUUUUCUAUUCUAGUUUCAGAAGCCGAAAGCUAAGAUGACUAAUUUUUUACUUUUCUUAUUUUUCAAAAUAGCAUUUAUUGCUGUACAUUUUCCUAUAAAAAUGAUUUAGCUAUAUCUCACAUGUUUUGGUAGGUUGGAUUGUCAUUUCAUUCAGUGCAGAAUGUAUUUUAAUUUUCCUUGAGGCUUUCUUUUUGACUUAUGAGAUUAUUUUUUGAUAGAUAUUGUUUAAUUUCCAAAUAUUGGAGAUUUUCCAGAUAUCUGUUGAUUCAUACUUUAAUUCCUUUAUCAAAUUAUAACAUACUUUGUAUUAUGUCUAGUCUUUUAAAAAUUUAAGGUUUUGUUUAUGGCCUAGAAUAUAGCCACAUUUGUGAAUGUUUCAUGCAUACUUGAAAAAAAUGAGUAUUGUGUUAUUUAUUGCCAAUAAGGUCAAGUUCAUUGUAACUGUUUGUUAGGUCUUUCAUAACCUUACUGAUUUACUUGUUCUAUCAUUCCCAGGAGACAGGUGUUGAAAUCUAUAAAUAUAAUUGUGGAUUUGCCCACCUCCUUUUUUAGUUAUAUUAGCUUUUGAUUAAUAUAUUAUAAAGCUCUGGUAUUAGGUAAAUGUAACAUUUAACAAGAUAUUAAUUCAAUAUAGGCUGGCACACAUGGGUUUCUCCAAAGAUGGUUAGAUAUAAUAAAUAUUUUUAAAGUUUUACUAUAUAAUUAUUUGAUCAUAUUCUGAAAAGUUGCAGGUCUGUAUCUUGCACCUCACCUUAAAUCAGAGAAAAGUUUAUGGACAAAACAGAAAUUAAAAGUCCUUCAAAGGAAAUCCCUUUUAAUAUUGCCACUUAAGGCAUUUAUUAUC